rnacentral:lncRNA from 1 species
GCCGCGGGCCCGGGCUGAGUUGUGGGGGAGGAGGUGGCAGUUUAGGGCCUCAGGGGACAUAUGGGGGCGGUGACAGAGUCAGGCGAUACUGGCGGGCUGGGGGUGGGAGUGUGCCUGCUGGAGGCAGGUUAGAGGGGAGACUAGACCUUAGGGAAGUCUUGCAGGGCAGAGCUGCCUCGAAAGGGCCCGCAGGAACCCGGGGAGAGGAGCACACUCCAGGCCUGGGUGUCGCUGCUGCCCGCUGGAGAAGGGGAACUUGACCCCUGGGAGGGGGCCGAUUCCGCGUAGGCUGGGCGGCCCCCUGUGCCCUGCUUUGUCUGACGGAGGGAGGCAGAGACUGGAGGAGGCUGAGGGUCUCGCCACCCUUGCUGGAGGCGAUAUCUGGCCGUCGAUGCCCUGAACAUGAGCAAGAAGGCAGGCCGUGGGGUGCGGGGUCGCAGUUAGGCUGGGAAGGCAGCACUUGAACUUGUCAAUACCAGCCGCCCCCUUUUUUUCCAGACAAAGGGGUGUGAGCCCGCCUGGGGAUGAGGCCUGGUGUGGUGGCAACUGACCUUAGCUUCGCGGGCUGACAGCUCUGGCCCAGGGCGGUAUGUAAUUCUGGGACCCACGCUUUAUUUUCCAGGUGGCAGUGCUCCCUUUUGGACUUUUCCUGUAGGUUCCGUGCUAACCUCUUCUGUGAGCUCACUCUGCCCCUCCUCCUCCUCCUCCUCCCUUUAACUCCCUCGAGGUUCCCCAUUGGCUUAAGCGUUGCUUCUGGUAAUCUGGUAAGCCCGGGAAGUUGCUCCAGUCCCUGUUGGAGUCGCUACUGCUGGUAAUCCUGAAGGAGGAGAGGCCUCCCCUGUUGAGACUCUGGGUGGGUGGGUGGCUUGCAGGUGGAGGGGGUGGGGCGUGGAUGUGCACCCCCCGGGUGGGCCCGCGGCCAUGGUACCAGCUGAAAGCUACGCAAAUGCCCUCAUAGAUGGUGGUUUGUUGCUGUAGUGUUCAUCAUGGCGAGCUGAUGGCACCAGGAGGAUGGAGCCUCUGGCCAGUGUGAGUCCUAGCAGUGCAGGAGGGGAGACCCUGGAGGAGAGAGCCCGCCUAAAAUUGAUGUCUGCAGAUUGAAUUUCCAGAGGCUUAGGAGGAGGAAGUUCUCCAAUGUCCCGUGUCCAGGCCUUGGCUCAGAAGCCCUGUAUUCAGGAGGCCACCCUUUAAGGGUGUCAAUGAGCUUGUGAGAGGGUGAUGGUUCCAAGUCCCAAGCAGAUGCAUCCGGGGUCGUCAGCAGAUGUGUUGAGUGUUUGAUCCGGAGCACCAACCUCUGGGCACGUUGAAUGCCAGCAGGCACCUCUCCUGUUCGGGGGUGGAGGUUUUCCGAUGGCUGCGUCUUCUAAUGCCUCCUGUCAUGCUAGUUCUGUGCUACGAACCUUGCUUCCAGAAGACUCUUAAGAUGUAGAACAUUUUAACGCUGAUGCCUCAACGCAGAGUGAUGCCUGGUAGAUGGAGCUUGCAGAUGGAGCCCAGGGACCCUGUCAUCUACUCACCUGCCUGCCCCAGCCUCGGUCGGAGGAAUUCUUAGUGUGAUGAUGUAACCUGUGUGUCCAGAAAGUGUUCACUGUUGAAACGCCUUAGGCCAAUACUCACAGGAAGCCACCUGGCAAACUGAGGGGGUCAUUGUGUUGUGCUGUGGUCUGGGAGGGUACAAGGUGGUGCUGCGCAAGUGGGGAUAGAAAUGCAGGUCUGGUUUGGGCAUUCCUACUACAAGAAGGGUGUGGUCAGGGUACUGAUAGUGGUCUCUGCUCCAUCUUGCCCUAUAUACUUUUUAACUUGAAUUUUAUUUGAUUAGAUUUCAAAGUAAUUUUAGUCUUCAAAUGAGGGGACCCCGAGGUGAGGGAUUGGGAGGGAGGGGAUGAUUUGGCCCUGGCGCUGGGGAGGGGGAGGGGGGGAAGAAAGGGAGAGGGUUGUGAUUAGGUGUGGGUUCUGUAGGGUGGGAGUGGUUGGGAGUGUGGGUCGGAGGGAAUUUUCUGGAGAAAAUAUCAAUAGGCAGAGCUCUGGGGAGUUACGUAGAGCUCGUGGGAGAAGAAAAUGUUAGUUAAUAGUAAAUUGUUAACGCUAGUUGUUGCUUGGAAGCGCAAAAGUUGCAAGUUUUCUAAAAUGCUUAGAACUCUUAAUUGCAGGAAGGAAAGCAAAAUUGUUUUGCUUUGCAAGAUGGGGAGGACUGGAAAAGGUAACAGCCUGGUUAUCAGUCACUUGAAAGACUGGUGUCAGGAACUUGCAUCAGCAGAUUAACAUCUUUCAACGCUUUGCAAGCUUCAAAGUGGUUUAUCUGAAUGUGUGCAGAAUCCCGAGCAGUCUUAAGACUCUAAAUACCCAAAUUGAGGGCUUUUGAAGUAUUAUGUUUCAGAUUUUGGUGUGCACUUAAGAUGGUCAGAUGUACUUUUCUGGGUUUGUAACAUCUUAGCUGAGGUUUUGCAAUUGAAAACUUGAGCAGAGUGAAAAUGGUUUCUAGAGGAAUUCCGUAUGUCAUCUCCUGCCUUAUUAAACACAUCUCUUGUCUUUGUGAUUGGUACUACUACCAGCAGAAGUUUUUCCCAUUAACCUUUUUGUCCUUGUUGUGACAAGAAGAACGUAAUAACCUUGUGACCGCUGUCGUCACUGUAUGUUUGGUAGCAAAUAGUCCAUGUAUCCUUGAUAAGGUUUCAGUUCAUAAUCCGCUGUAUCUUUAGUUUGAAUGUUUGUGCUUUUUAAGUGACCCAGUACUUCAUGUGGGAAACUAUUAAACCAAAAUCAGUUUUGGAAAUGAGAACAAAACUAGGGCUGGGCAAGUGCUUUAGAUACGGUCUGUAAAAAUCCAGGGGAAGAUCUGAACUCUUAUGAUACUUGUUUCUGAGAUGCACCUAUUUAAUUGGUAAAGUAACAGCUGUGGCUUUUUAUCAUCUCCCUUUUCCCCUUAAAUUUACUUUGAAAAUUUUAAAUCCCCACUACUUAUUACCCUUGGGAGUUACGUCUUCUGGGUUCUUUGGUGAUGUUUAAAAAUAUGUUGACAUGUAGUUCAAUUCUUAACCUGUGACUUGGGCAUGAUGCGGUGACUCAUUGGAAUUUGAAGAGCACCAGUCACGCGUGUCGGGAAAUAUGUUGCGUUAUGCUGUUGUGAAAUCGAAACUGUAAAAGUAGGUGGUGAAAAUCACGUCUCUGUUGCUCUGUGUGGUGAGAACCAGUCCUGUUGCAUCAUGUAUGAUGACUAAUCAUUUUUCUUCCCCUUCACAGCACAAAUAAAGGUUUGAAAAAAAAAAAAAAAAAAAAAAAAAAAA